rnacentral:rRNA from 1 species
GACGAACGCUGGCGGCGUGCUUAACACAUGCAAGUCGAACGGAAAGGCCCUGCUUGCAGGGUUCUCGAGUGGCGAACGGGUGAGUAACACGUGGGUGAUCUGCCCUUCACUUCGGGAUAAGCCUGGGAAACUGGGUCUAAUACCGGAUAGGAGCCAUUUUUAGUGUGAUGGUUGGAAAGUUUUUUCGGUGUAGGCUGAGCUCGCGGCCUAUCAGCUUGUUGGUGGGGUAAUGGCCUACCAAGGCGGCGACGGGUAGCCGGCCUGAGAGGGUGGACGGCCACAUUGGGACUGAGAGACGGCCCAGACUCCUACGGGAGGCAGAAGUGGGGAAGAUUGCACAAGGGGCGCAAGCCUGAUGCAGCGACGCCGCGUGGGGGAUGACGGCCUUCGGGUUGUAAACUCCUUGCGCUAGGGACGAAGCUUUUUGUGACGGUACCUAGAUAAGAAGCACCGGCUAACUACGUG